rnacentral:rRNA from 1 species
AGUGAACGCUGGCGGUAGGCCUAACACAUGCAAGUCGAACGGCAGCACAGUAAGAGCUUGCGCUUACGGGUGUCGAGUGGCGGACGGUUGAGGAAUACAUCGGAAUCUACUUUUUCGUGGGGGAUAACGUAGGGAAACGUACGCUAAUACCGCAUACGACCUACGUGUGAAAGCAGGGGAUCUUCUGACCUUUCGCGAUGGAAUGAGCCGAUGUCGGAGUAGCUAGUUGGCGGGGUAAAGGCGCACCAAGGCGACGAUCCGUAGCUGGUCUGAGAGGAUGAACCGACACCCUGGCACAGAGACACGGCCCACACUCUUAGAGGAGGCCGCAGCGCGGAAUACUGCACAAGGCAGGAGAGCGUGAUAUAGCACUACCGGGUGAGUCCAGAUGGCGUUAGGCUUGUAAAGCCAUUUUGUCGGGAAAGAAAAGCAGCAGGUUAACACGCCGCGGUUAUGACGGUACCGAAAGAAUAAGCACCGGCUAACUCCGUG